GGAGUCAAUGCAAAACUCAGAUGUCUUCCACCUCUACUUAUCUGACUGCAGAGAGGAUGACAGAGAACAGUGGACACACAGUUUAACAUGAUGGACUAUAGGACAGGACUGCUGCUUUUAACUCUCUGCUGGGCAGGUGUUGAUGGUCAGACUCUGACCCAGUCUGAACCAGUGGUUAAAAGACCUGGAGAAUCCCACAGACUGACCUGUACAGUCUCUGGAUUCACACUCGGCGACUACUGGAUGGUCUGGAUCAGACAGGCUCCUGGAAAAGGACUGGAGUGGAUCACUACUGAUGCUGGUGAUAGCCGCAAAUACUACUCUCAGUCAGUCCAAGGCCAGUUCACUGUCUCCAGAGACAACAGCAGACAGCAGCUGUAUCUGCAGAUGAACAGUCUGAAUACUGAAGACACUGCUUUUUAUUAUUGUGCCACAUACACAGUAACACAAACCAUCAGUCAACCUGAACAAAAACCCCUCAUGAAGCCACCAGAGGAGGAGCCCUCAGACCACUAAUGAUUUCACACCAGUUCACUUACAGUAAAGAGGGAAACAAUCUUUAGAUUUGAUGAAUGUUAAUUCAACAGUAACUGUUUCCAUUGGUUUCAUCAGAUACUUUGAUAUUAAGCAUUACUGUUUGUAUUCACAAGAUGAAAACUGAAUAGCUA